AUAUGAACCUAAUCCAAGGCUCGGAUCCCCAACCAGAUAUAGAAAACACCAAAGUAUACUUCAAAUAACUUAGAAACUCUAAAACCUUCGAGACACCAACUUUCAAUAAUAAGCGCCGAAACGCUCCUGGUCCACCCGAAAUUCAAUCCAAACAUAUGCCAAAAUUCAAAAGCAUCCUAGAAAUUUCGAUAUCGAGGUCGUUUACUCGAAGUGUUGACCUAAGUCAAACAUGGUCACCUUAGACCACUACUAUGGAACUAAGUGUUCCGAAUUCAACUCGGACCUUUCCAAAACCAUAUCAACCAUCCCCCUAGGUCAUAAAAUAAUAAAAGCACAUACAUAAAGUCUUAAAUUGGGGAGGAGAGAUCUAGUGCUGUAUUUUGUCCGGGCCCGGGCCUAAACGGGCUUCGCGGCCGGGCUUCGCGGGCCGGGCUUCGUGGGCCUGGGUUUCGCGGGCCUGUAGCAGAGAUCUAGUGCUGAAUUUUGUCCGGGCCCGGGCCUAAACGGGCUUCGCGGGCCGGCCUUCGUGGGCCUGGGCUUCGCGGGCCUGGGCUCUGGCGGUCCCGGGCUUCGUGGGCUCAAUGGGUGAGACCAGCCCGUGACGGGCCAAAAGCCCAAGCCCAUGUGGUCCUGGGCUUAGCGGGUCGGGCCUCGUGGGCCUGGCGGGCUUUUUUGUAAUUUUUUUAAGGUAGUUAUUAGUAUAGUAUAUAAUAUAAUA
rnacentral:lncRNA from 1 species